AUUGAACGCUGGCGGCGUGCUUAACACAUGCAAGUCGAUCGGUAACGCGGGGGCAACCCUGGCGACGAGAGGCGGACGGGUGAAGAACGCUUGGGAAUCUGCCUAUCAGCGGGGGACAACCCGGGGAAACUCGGGCUAAUACCGCAUACGCACUACGGAGGAAAGCCGGGGACCGCAAGGCCUGGCAAUGAUAGCUGAGCGCAAGCCGGAUAGCUAGUUGACGGGGUAACGGCCCACCAAGGCGACGAUCCGUAGCUGGUCUGGGAGGACGAUAAGCCACACUGGGACUGAGACACGGCCCAGACUCCUACGGGAGGCAGCAGUGGGGAAUAUUGGACAAUGGGGGAAACCCUGAUCCAGCGACGCCGCGUGGGUGAAGAAGGCCUGCGGGUUGUAAAGCCCUUUCGGUAGGGACGAAAGCUCUCGACCUAACACGUCGGGAGGUUGACUUAACCUACAAAAGAAGCACCGGCUAACUCUGUGCCAGCCGCCGCGGUAACAC
rnacentral:rRNA from 1 species